UUAUGGCCAUAAAAUGUUGAAGAAACCAGUUUCCACAUGACCACCAAAGUUAAGCAACAUUGAGCAUGGUCAGUACCUAAAUAGGUGACUGCUUGGGAAUACCAGGUUCUGUAAG